CCUUCGAUAGCUCAGCUGGUAGAGCGGAGGACUGUAGAUCCUUAGGUCGCUGGUUCAAAUCCGGCUCGAAGGA
rnacentral:tRNA from 2 species